UAUUAUUGUACUAAGGGGUUUGGUUUGAGUUAGAUAGGAGUAUGGGGGAAAUGACUCUUCCCAACUCAAGGUUUCAAAAACCAUGAAAGUGGUUGAACCAAUCAAGGAAUCCUCAUCAAGAUAUUUUAAGGUUUUUCUAUGGUGUUUCAUCAUACAGGACCUACUUGGUUUGUUUUUUUGCUUCAUUUUAGGUACUUGAAGUUUCAACCAAUUGCUGUUUUGGUUAGAAGAUGAGAAGGCUUCUAGGAUUCCUCCACUGGAGCAGCAGACCAUGAAAUGGAAAAGCAUUAUAUGCAGAAUCUCUAGAUCCUAGUGAUCCUAAUUCCUGAGACAUUUAGUUUUUUUUUUUGUUCUGUACUUCAAUUUUAUUUUUUUCCCUGGAUGUUUCUGAUUCCUGUGAUACAUAAUAUAUAUACUUUUCCUAAAGCAGUGAUGCAAGCUGUUCUCUGGUGAAUAAGUUAAUGAAUCUUAUGUUAUUUUCC
rnacentral:sRNA from 1 species